ensembl:lncRNA
AAACACUGGGAGCUGCCAAGGAGAGUCCUGGGAGAUGCUUGGGUCAAAGGGAGCUGUGGGGAGCCCCCCAGCCCCCCAAGUCCUUGUGCUUCAUGGGAAGACCCAAAUGCUGAAGGGCUCCCAUGCUGUGCUUCCCCACGUGCUGGACAUCCUCCCAGUGCGUGAAUUCCCCAGCGCGUGGGUGCGGGAGGGGGGUGGUGCAGAUUGUGCUGAGGGAUGUGGUUAAUGGUAAUGGGUUGGUGGUUGGAUUUGAUUUUCCAUGGUUCUGUGAUUUGCUGCUCCUGUCUGCCUGGCGCGGGAAGAUAAAAGCUGCCGUUGCAAAAACGCUGUGACUUCCAAAGGUGCCCAAAGCACAGCACAUCUUGGUGGAGUGUGCUGCUUGACGAGUCUGGCUUCCUAGCAGUGCUAGGGGUGUCCUCAUCCUGUCCUUCACCAGCAGUUAGAAACCUGCACAGGGGGCAGCACACAGAUGGGGGAGUGGUGGUGGUGGAAUCCCCACCUUGCUGCUUGUUGUAUUGCUCUGAUGUGAAGGAUGCUGGUGGGGGCUGCUGGGGCUGCGUGAAUCCAGCCCUGCCUGCUGUGCAGGAAGCAGAGGCAGGCUCCUCUGUGCAAAGCAUCUGCAGCAAUGUCCUUUGCUGACAGUAUGCAUCAAGUCUGAUGUGCCUUGGGGAGAAGAGGUGGGAAAAGGAGAGAGAAGCAGGAGAAGCUGUAGCGGGCAGCUGGAGAAGCGUGGGGCUCCCAGAGCGUGCCCUCCUGUGGGCUGCUGGUCAGGUGCUGCUGGUGAAUAUCACACCUCAAAGCACCUCUGCACCUCCCCCCAAACACUUGGCUAUUCCCAAGAUGAGCUCAGGUUCCAUUUUGGAGCAUAUGAUGCUACUAGGGCUGGUUGGAAGGUGCCUAAUUAAGUUUGGCUGUUGUGUAUUAGCUGGUGGUUCAGCUUUGUGCAUGUGUGGUGUUGGGCAGCAUUUAUCAUAAUACCUUCUACUGCUUUGUGCGUUUAUUGCGAUGCCUUUCACCCCUUUGUACCCCCCAGGCUGUGGUUGUACUCUAUAACACAGACCCAAAGCUGUGAGGGGAAGGAUCUCGGCCCAGAUCUGCAAUGCAAAAAGGACAGCUGCUAAGUGCUGGUAAAACAAACAUCACAUGUUCCGUGGGGCUCCUACAAGGCAUGGUGAUCUCCUGAACGCAGGUCCCUAUGAGCUCCUGGCACGUUUUCAAGUCCAAGCUGAGCAAAUGCAAGAUGACAAGAAGAGUAAGAGCUUGCUUAGCAGGAAGAGGAGCGCUGAGCCUGAGCUGGGGUGGCUGCCCCUGCAGCGCAGUGAUGUAUCACAAAGUCAGGUUCCCCUUUUGGAUGGCCUACAAGGUCAGCAGAAAUGCGAGGGGAUGGAGCUCAGUGCUGGGGUCCGAUCUCCCUGUGCUGGUGCAGCCUUGCCCUGGGCUGGGUCCUGGACCAGCAACUUCCAUGUUGGGCAAUCAGAGAACCGUGGGAACAUUAAGGUUGGAAAAGACCUCUCUGCAUCUCAGCACACCCCACCAUUUCCACUGCCCACACCCCUCAGUGCCACAUCCCCGCAGCUCUGCAAUGCCUCCACAGAUGGUGAUCCCACCACUCCCUGGGCAGCUGUGCCAAUGCAGAACUGCAGUUCCUAAUACCCAACCUGAGAUGCAGGGCUUGAUACCAGCUGCUGCUGGCUUCCUGGCUUUGCUUACAGCUGUCCCAGUGCAGCUCCACCUCUCCUUCAAACCCACUGUGAUGGGCAGCAGGCGCUAUGGGUAGGACAUCAAACCCCACCGAGGCCUACUGGGAGCUGCGGGUGUGAGAAAAGGAGAGCUGCGUGGGAGCUGCUGCUUCUGCUGGUUUGGCUCAGGUGGGUGGAAGGGAAGGGGAGAGCACAUCUGGGGCAGCAAUGGGGCUUUUUCUUGAUUCAGUGUCUGCCCUUGUUCCGAAUCGCUGCAUUGUGUGUUCCCUUUAAAAACAAGGGCGAUGCUGCACGCUUCCUUGCUUUCAAAGAAAGGGUUUGCUCAUGCUGAAGUCCUCACUGAACACAGUGCUGUGCUCUGUGAUACCUGGAAAGCACCCAGUCACCGCACCCAGGAGCCGUGGGUGUGAGCAGGGUGUGUUUGUGCGAGGGGUGAUCCUGGUGUCAGGAUGGGACCCUGCUUUGUCAGGGUGUGCUCUGCCCCUGGGAGCAGCAGAUCGGCGCUGGGGGCUGAGUGAGGAUGUGGUGUUUGGAUCACUGCAUGGGAAACCAGUCUGCAGAGCAGGGGAGGCUGAUUUGAAGUAACUUUUAUGGCUGGGCUGUUGAUAUUUCUGCAUAAAUAGUGAAAAGCAUUCCGAGGGGGUGGCUGACGGUGUGCCAUACCCAGGGUGCCACAGCCAGGGGUGCUGGGGUGCAGAAUGCAGUGCUGGCAGUAGCAGGUUGCUUAGUGAAGCAGCACUGAUUUAAAAGGACAAAAAAAAAAAAAGAGAGAUGGUUGCACUGGGAAGCUAUGAGCAGAUUGGAUAUCACACCACUAUGUGGCAUGGCUGAUUUGUGGCAGAGGCAGCAGGAUGCUCCUCCUGCAGCAAGAGCAUCCUGGGGCUCGUUGGCACCAGGCCCUGGUGUAGGUGUUCUCCCCAUUGCAUCCUCCUGGAUGGGAUGGUGUCCCCUCUUCCCUUGUCCUUGGUCCUGGUGAACCCCGCCCCAGGCAGGAGCUGGCGUGCAGCAUCCAUUACCUUGGUCUGUGCAAUCAAAAGCCAUUUAUAGUAAAUGUGUUUGCUUUGUACUGAAUUACUCACAAUGCUGCCAAGUACAACCACACCAGCUGUUAAUUAGAGUUUAGCUUUUAUUACCAAAAAGUCUGCUCUGUUGAUAUGGAAAAUGGGAAUAAAAAGUCAUUUAACCUAUUGUGAUGUGAAAAUAAACGAUGACUUGUUGGUUUAAUUAAAUAGUCUAUUUAUCUAGCCGUCAAAGUGUUUGAACAUACACGGGAUUACGAGCGGCGCUAUCCUGCCUUGUCUCCUGUUGUCUGCAUAAUCCUGUUGUUGGAAGGGAGUCACCUGCUGCAUGCCCCAUUGAGCCCGAUGCUCCUCCAGCAGAGAAGUCCCAUGCAUUGCUGCACAUCCCUUCCUACUCUUCCCAUCCAACAAGGAGACAUCACCUCCUUUCAUAGAGUCAUAGAAUGGCUUGGGUUGGAAGGGACCCCGAGGUCCAACCCCUUCCCACAGGCAGGGCCACCAACCUCCAGAUCUGGCACUAGACCAGGUUGCCCAGGGCCUCAUCCAACCUGGUCUUUUCCAUGUGCUCACAUUCUGUGCUUCCUUGAAGUGCAUCCCUUGGGCUCAUUCAGGAAUUUUUCUGCACGUUCCAUAGCAGAAGGAAUCUUAAGACUUCCAGAAACCUGUGUGCUCCUCAAUGCCUUCCUCCCUUCAUUGAGAUGGUGGUGAAAAGGGAGGUUCUCCAUGCUCACAUCUGACAUUCUCUGUGUUUUGUGCCAUUUCUUUGUCCCUAACAGCUCUGUCUUGAGUGGCGCAUGGAUUUCCAAGAAGAACUGGAGAGCCUGCAGAUGGGUGGUGGAGCCAACAGAUCUCAUCUGCGUGGGUUGCCGGACAGUGGGGCUCAAAGGACAGGCGUGGGGAGCAGGUUUGGUCAAAAGGUCCCUUUGGUUGAACGGUUCACUUGGCUCACCUGGUUGGAUGCCAGUCUCUCCUCGGUGUUCCUAACAGGUGUGGGCGCUGCUGCUGUUUGCUCCUGGCCGCGGUGCAGGACACGCGCGCUGUGUCUCCGCCGGAGCGCUGAACUUGUCGGCGCUGUUUACUUACGCGUUCGCACUGUUUGUGCAGCCAGAAGUCUCAAUCUCAUAUUUAUCUCCUCUUAAAGCAGCUACAGUUUAUACUUUAAACACAUUAAUCAUUUCCAAGCCUUUAAAGGGCUUUUAAGUGGAGACACUGGUUAUGUUUGCCUUUUAUUUAAAGUCUCCCUUCCGAAUCGGGAGGCAAAGUGCUUCAAAGGACGCUGAAGGAGCGUGCUCUCAGAUGAACUGCAACGAGUAAGCCUCCCCCGUGCAAAAAAUAGAGCCAAAAAAGCCCUGUGCUUCAGAGGGCACCUCCAUGCCUGGCUGGGUGAGCGUGCUUUUUGGGCUGUCCUUGGCCAAGGGUUCCUUUUGGAGGAUAUGGGACUCUCCCGGGUGCACAUCUCCUUUGUAGGCAGUGGUUUGCUCCCUGCAGCCCAUGGUUGGGGCUCUGUGGUCCCCAGAUCUCAUGAAUCAAUCCUGAGGUCUUUCAGCUCCAGCUUAGCAGUGGCAGAGCACGACCCAUAGAAGGGUUCUAAGACCCACAUCCCCUGCACAGCGCAGUAUGUGCUGCUCCCAGCUGCAUCAGCACUGCUCCUGGCUCUAGGUUUUGAGCUCUAAACCCAUCCUGGUGUUCUCAGGAGGAGGUGCUGUCUCCUGCUUGGGUCACCAAAGCAGCCCAUUGGGGAUACAGCACUCAGGAAUGCCUUUGGUAAAUACUGGCACACUUGUCUAUUGGAUGGGGAGGAAGCCCUACCAGAGUUAGGAACGCUUGCACAGUGUCUGUUUUACAUAGGUAUGAUAACCACUGCGAGGCACUGCUGCUUGGGACUGGAGGUCAGGCAUGCACAGCCUCUCCUUAGUGAGGGCUUGGGACCUCAGAUGUGCAUCCUGCUAGAAUACAUGGUGCGAAGCGGGUGGCACCCAUAAUGGCUCACAGCCAUCUGCUGGGGGUGUAAAUAAAGCAGUGAUUGGACUGGUGAAGGAUUCUUAACAAAGGUGUUGCUGCUGGCUUUUGGUGGACGGAGGUUUUUGCUCCUGUGGCAUCUCCACACCUGGCUGCUGAGAUGUGCUUUGCUUGGAGUCUGGUCCUCCAGACGCCUUAUUUUCUUCUUUUCCCAUGAAACCACGGGGAACAAGUGAGCUGGAGGUUAAAUAUCAGACCUGCAGCUCCAAGUCCUCCUCCAGGCUGUGCAAUGAGGUGGUGGGAGUCUUGCUUACAUUGCAUUAGUGGCAGAGAAAAUCCUUUGGGUUGGAGCAGCUUCUGCUAGGAUAAGGAGAAAUGGUUUUCUUGGGAGAAAAUUUGGCUUUUUUUCUUUUCUUUUUUCUUUAUUAAAGGGCAGAUUUAAGACUGAAGAUUCCCGUUGGCACUGUGUGCUCAGCACCAGGCACUGAGCAGAGCCCAUUGCAUUCAUCUUCGCGCCCCUUGGCCUCCGCGCUCCUCCGCCUCCGUAAUUGUAACAAAUGCUUUUUCCAUAAGAUGUCAGUGUGGCACAGGAGUUUGGAUGCUUGUUUGUUAGUUGUGAGUAAUCCAUCACGGGAAGUGAGGGAAAGCCAUCUUCUGGGCCAUCCCCAAGUGUCAGCUCGUUUAGGGCUUGUGGCAUUAAUAUUUCCAUGGGUGGAGGAAUGGCCACGCUGAUCCCAUACCAUGAAAGGACGGCUGCUCGCCUUCAGCGAGGUCAGGAAAUGCUGAGGAACCAGAAAUGAGCACCAGAUGCUCCCAGCUGCCCGGUUCGUGCUCUCCCUGUUUGGCACUUCCACCCGACCAAUUCAGGUGCCCCCAGAAUUGAAUCUCGAACACCGUUUCCACCCUUUGGUGCAUUUGAAACAACAAUCUGGAAAACGCGUUGGUGUUUUAAUAGUGUUUUUGGGUAACCCUCUUGUACCUCAGGUAUAGCCAAAACAAGGAACAAAACCCCUCAGGGCUGUGGAACCCCCAAAUGCUGAUGGGGAGGCUCCUGCUGACCUCGUUGGGAGCUGGACCAAUGCCCGGUGGCAGACAAAGGCUGUGUGAGCAGGGAGUGCUCACCCUGGCCCUGCUCUUCCCAUGGUGUUGGGGCCCAGGGUAUGUAUUUCCCCCCUGGCAAUGGGCAGACUUGGACGGGUUGGAUGUUGCGCAGCUCUCUCCCUUCUCUGGUUUCAGCUCGGUUGUUAAACCCAGUAAUAUGCGCAAUAAUCUGCCUGUCUGGGAUUAAUAUAACGUUAUAUGUUUCUUGAAAGCCUUUCUGAUCCCGCAGUUAAUUUAAUCUUUUAUUAACAUUAACGAGCUCAUGUGGUGUCCAGCAAGCCUGGGGAGAAUGCUUUCCAAUACCAACAGAUGACAAAGAGAUGAAAAUAUAAUAGCAGAUGAAUUCCUCCUUCACCGCAAAGGCAGCGAGGAGGGCAGAGCAGAGCUGAGCCUCCUGCUCAGCAGAGCACGUACCGCUCGCUAACGUGAGCUGCCAGGAAGCAGCGCUCGUUGUUGAGGCUUUGAAAUGGCAAAGGCAGAGAUUACUGGGAGGCGUAUCUCUGGCCGAGGAGCAGGGCGCACUUAGCAGCUAUCAGCGCCCAAGUGCCAAAAGGAAAACGUUAACCUCCCUGGUGCCAAAGAGGCUCUGCGGAUCCAUUCUUUGGCCUCAGUGCAACGUUAUAAAACAGAAAUAAUGGCAGUCUGGAAAACGGCCAUUUCGCUGCUAGGAAUUUCUGCUUUAUGCACUUGCCAGGUUCCUACCUCGGGUCACGGGAGUUGAAGCACAGGGCAGCGGCGUGCCCACCCCCAUGCAGUGCCAGGAGCUCCCAUAUCCCCCCCAGUGAUUCAAGCAGGUGAUGCCCGUCCUGCCCUGGGCUGUUCCUUUGGGCUGUGCUUUGGCAGCAGUGCCGUGGGCUCUGCCCGGGUUGGUGCUGGAGGAUCAGAGGUGAUGGAGGUUGCGUGGCCGCUGCUCGUGCCGGGCUGCCUUGGCGCAUCACCCAAGAGCCACGGCCAGACCUGGAGGGAUCCAGAAGUUUCAUUAAUUUCCAAUUGAGCUGGAGCCGGCGUGGGUCGGUCUUCUUGCUAGAACAAAGUUGUUCUGCACACCCAACAGCACCGGCAUUGGAUCCAGAUGGGAGCAGCUCUGCUCCAGCAGGCAGAGGGAACCCAUUAGGAGUGUGCUCCAUUCCAAGGAAUUCCUCUCCAAUUUCCUUCCCAAUUAUCCUGCUUAUCCACACACAUGAACCCUUCCUGCUCUGAUGCUGCUUUAUCUCCUGAACGGAUGGAUUUUCUUUUCCCUUUGUGCUGUUGUGGGGCCACGUCAUGGCAGGAGGGGCUGCUGGGUACAAGGAGAGGGGGUGUCCCCUGAGGCUGCUUGGUCUUUAAUACAUAAAGCAGAGACCUGCCAAAAUACAGUGCCAAGAUGACAUGAGGUGCUUGCUCUUAGCAGGAGGCUUUCAUGGAAGCAUUAGGGGUUGGAAAAGACCUCUGAGAUCUCCAACCCACCCCACUGUGCCCACUGGUGAUGUCUGCAAGUGCCACAUCCCCGUGGUUCUCGAACUCCCCCAGGUGUGGGGACACUGCUGUGCCCUGGGCAACCUGUGCUGGAGCAGCACUGCUCUUUCAGAGGAGAAAUCUAUUGGGCAUAGGGAUUACCUUUUGCAUGCCACCAGCCCUGCUUCUGCACACUGCCCAGGAAUGAGCACCGUAAGUGAUGGACGUGGGGUGGGUGCACUGCUUUGCACACCAGUGUGAGCUGUAAGGGCAGGAAAGUAGCAUAAAAAUGAGCUUGUUGUAAAGAGGAGGGCGAACGGGGUUUGACUGGCUCAAGUGAGGAGAAAUUAGUGAUGGAGUUGGAGUUUUCUGAGCCGCAAGCUGCAGUUUACUUUAAAUUUUAGGAAAGUGUGGUCUCCGCUGAGGUCUGCGCUGUGGUGAACAUGGUGCUGCUUUCCAAGCCUCAACGGUUUUGCUGGGCUAAUAAAAGUGGUCAGAGGAGGAGGGAAAGAUGUGGUGGAAUCUGGGCACGGGGGAGGCAGGACCUGAGCUGGAACUCCCCAUCUGGGGCUGUUCAGCUCUCCAUAAAGCAAAGCGAAAGGCAGCUCAUGGGCCAAUGCACGGGCAGGGUGCAGAGCUGCCAAAGUUGCUGUAAGUUGUGCAGACUGGGGCUGGCAGGCCCAGGUCCAUCAGUCCCCAGAUGGUUUCCCACCAUUUUUUUUUUACAAUCUUUUGGCUCUGGGUCAAGUUUUAAUUUGGUUUUUGCUUUGAGCAAAGGUGCACCGCUGUGUGCUCGGGGAGGUGCAAACGGAGGGCGAGCUGCGAAGCGAAGGUGGAGGGGGUGGAAAAAAAAAUCACAGCCUGGGAAAAAUGGGCUUUGCAUAUAUUUGGGGAGGUUGCUAAUUAGUGCAGAGAGUCACCACACCAGGGAACGCUGUGUAAAAGGUAAAGCUCGGCCGUGCUCAGAAGCGAGACGGUGUGGGAAUACUAAUGAGAGCUGCUCAGCUUCACCUGAAUGCAAACCCGUGCAGGAAUUCAGGGUUUAGUGCUGCAAAGCACCACUGAGCAGGUGGGGGAGGCUGCGGCUGCACCAGGGUUUGCUGGGGACCCCAGCACUCUGCUCCUGGCUCUGGCAUUGGCAGCGCCUGCUCCUGCCUGCUUUGGGAUGGAUGGGUGGAUGGGAACUGUGCUUUGUGGUGGGCGCGGUGGUCCCAUAUGGGAACCUCACGUGUAGGCUGUGCAAAAAGCUGUGCGCAAGUUCAGCUUCUGAGCUAUGGCGUCAUGUUUUAGUUUUGGCUUUAAAGCAGGCUUCAUCCCAGCAUUUCUCACAUGUCCACCGUUUGCGUUGGCUGAUGAGUUCUGUGCACGUGAGCGCUUGGGCUUUAGCUGAUGCCUUUCCUGCUCUCCCAAAGAGCAGCGCUGAGCUGUGCUUGCAGCUUGCUUUGCAGUUGCAGUGCAUGAGAGAUUUGGUGCCUACAGCACUGGGGUUGGGGGGAAAUGUUUUGUGUAUCCUUGCAGGAGGCUUCUCCUCCCCAAACCCAUCUUCAGCAUAAAACUGCUCAGAAGUGCCUUUCCAAUCAGCAGCGUAAUCGCUCUUGCUCAGCAAGCUGUGUCUUUAUGCACUCUAACACGUGCCCCCUUACGUCUUUGUGUUCAAUGGGCACUUGGCAUCUCCUGCUACGUCUAACCUCCAUCUAACCUCCUAAGGUUAGGCUGCCUGCAGAGAGACGACUCCUCCGUGAACAUCAGCUGGAAGUUUUUAUGGUGCUGUUGAGAAAUAUACCUACACAAGGCAUUGGUUUACGUCUGGGGGACGUAGGAGCAGAAAGGCCUCCAGACACACAGCAAUGGAACCAUCAGCCGUUACUGUGAAGGUGUUAUUUCUCUCUCCUCCUCUUUAACGCGGGGCUGGGGGAUCCUAUCCAGGUAAACACAGCACUCAGCUGCCUGUUUGGCACACUGGGUGGGGGCAAAGCCAC